rnacentral:rRNA from 1 species
AUGAUGCCAACACCUGCGCGCGCCUCGGCAGCCACCGCACACGCCCUGCUACGCAGAACCAGAUGCUUUGCUGGGGUGAAUCGGAUCCGGCCAACCACGAGGACCUUCUCUGGAGCGCCGGCAGGGGCGGCUGACCCACAUGAUCACGCGGAGAAGGUUGGUGGUGUGAAAGUUGGAGAUGACGAGCUCGACGUUGCUAUGGUUGGUGGAGGCAUGGUGGGCUUGGCUGUUGCUUGUGCACUGUCCAAUAUGCCAUUGACCAAACAUCUGCGAGUUGCAGUCAUCGAUAGCAAUCCUGCAUUGAAGUCAAGGAAUUAUCUGAAAAAGAUGGUGUACCUGAUUCAAGGGUCAGCACUGUUACUCCUGCAACCAUUUCCUUCUUCAGAGAUAUUGGUGCAUGGAAGCAUAUUCUACAGCAAAGACAUGCAUUCUUUGGUAAAAUGCAGGUGUGGGAUUACACCGGACUAG